UUAGACGAACGCUGGCGGCGUGCCUAAUACAUGCAAGUUGAGCGCUGAAGGUUGGUACUUGUACCGACUGGAUGAGCAGCGAACGGGUGAGUAACGCGUGGGGAAUCUGCCUUUGAGCGGGGGACAACAUUUGGAAACGAAUGCUAAUACCGCAUAAAAACUUUAAACACAAGUUUUAAGUUUGAAAGAUGCAAUUGCAUCACUCAAAGAUGAUCCCGCGUUGUAUUAGCUAGUUGGUGAGGUAAAGGCUCACCAAGGCGAUGAUACAUAGCCGACCUGAGAGGGUGAUCGGCCACAUUGGGACUGAGACACGGCCCAAACUCCUACGGGAGGCAGCAGUAGGGAAUCUUCGGCAAUGGACGAAAGUCUGACCGAGCAACGCCGCGUGAGUGAAGAAGGUUUUCGGAUCGUAAAACUCUGUUGGUAGAGAAGAACGUUGGUGAGAGUGGAAAGCUCAUCAAGUGACGGUAACUACCCAGAAAGGGACGGCUAACUACGUGCCAGCAGCCGCGGUAAUACGUAGGUCCCGAGCGUUGUCCGGAUUUAUUGGGCGUAAAGCGAGCGCAGGUGGUUUAUUAAGUCUGGUGUAAAAGGCAGUGGCUCAACCAUUGUAUGCAUUGGAAACUGGUAGACUUGAGUGCAGGAGAGGAGAGUGGAAUUCCAUGUGUAGCGGUGAAAUGCGUAGAUAUAUGGAGGAACACCGGUGGCGAAAGCGGCUCUCUGGCCUGUAACUGACACUGAGGCUCGAAAGCGUGGGGAGCAAACAGGAUUAGAUACCCUGGUAGUCCACGCCGUAAACGAUGAGUGCUAGAUGUAGGGAGCUAUAAGUUCUCUGUAUCGCAGCUAACGCAAUAAGCACUCCGCAUGGG
rnacentral:rRNA from 1 species